CCGGCCUUAGCCUGUGUGAAACUCAAGGCUCUUCUUCAGCCUGGCGCCCGGGGCGGGGUUUGGGCUGUGGCUGCGGGUUUUCCUGGAGAUGGACCUCAGCGCUCGGGGCUGCUCGGCAUCCGGCCCCGCAGGGGCUCUCUGCAGGGAACAAAGUUCAUCAUCCUGAGACACCAGACCUUUGACGAAGCGCAGGUUACCUGUGACAGUGCGUGCGGCGCUAACAAAGAGUCCCUGUCAGCCUUUGUAGAAGACUUUGAGGCUUCAGUCAGCGUUGACUUUCCAGAAGAUGAGGAGCGUGUUGGUGAAGUGCUAGACUGUGGUUCCUCGGAUCCCUCAGUUCGUGGGGGAACAGAAGAAGCUCAGUGUGGAGAUGAAAAGAUGACAGAAGCAGCAGAAUCCCAGAAGUUGCGAUCACACAGGCAGAUGAGGAGCAGAAACAUCUGUAAGCCAUGACUGCACCUGCCUACGUGAUGCUGAGAUGGGGUCCUCCAGCCAGCUCAGGCCUUUCCUGGUCUUUUUUCUAUGUUCUGCUGAAUCCUGAUCAACCCGAAUGCUGCCUGUUGGCACUGGGAUAGGGAGAGCCACCCAUGAAGACCCAGAUGCUGUAGCCUCACUUUUCUAAGACGGCACUCGACUGGGCAGUGAAGCACGGCAAUCUUGAGAUGGCAGAGAUGGUCGCCAAAGCAGGCGUCGAUGUCAAUGCUAAAUCGUAUGUCACUUAUUUCAUUGUGACAGGGGUAAUGUAUUUGUAAACUGUGCUAUAAAUAUUGGAAUCUCAUAUUCAGACACCAGCAUAUCUCAUAUUCAGACACCAGCAUUUCUGAGCUAUGCUUUUUCAAAUGAAUUUAGAAUUGACAAAAAUUUUCAAAGCCAAAUUACUAGUGUGUCACUGUGAAAUUAGGUUCUUGACCCUGCUUCUGAUGUAUGCUUAUUUUUCUACACAUUUUCUCCUUCAAUUUUAUGCAUCACUAUUCACUGCUGGAAUUGGUGACAUGGCUUUCCCAAAAGGGGGCAUGGGGGACUGGCGCUGUUUACACACAUGCCUGCAUUUGGAUAGAGUGGAUAUGCAGAAAGACAUAAAACAGGAAACCAAUCCUAGCACAGCCCCGUGUUCCUUUGUACCUCCUCUUGUUCAGCUCCUCAAGGCCCAGCCUGCAGCAGAGGAGCCGGCCCUUGGCCUUUCAGCACAUGUGGCCCCUGCAGCCUGUGUCCCGUUGACUCCCCAGCGACCCAACAGCCCACAGCAAUCCAACACCCUGUGCUCCCAAUCCUUUCCAUUCCACUGUGCAGCCAUAAGCAAGCCACUGCCGGGCACCUUCAUGGCCACAUGGUGUGGCUCUGCACCGGCACAGCCCCCUCCAUUUCCCAUGGAAGACCAUGAGAGAGCACCCCAGGGAAAAUGCUGGAUCCUCCAAGCAUGAAAAGGAGGGGAGCAACAGCAUUCUCACAGGACCCUCCUACUGCACCCACAAACUGUAUAAAGGUAAAAUGAGUAGGGGUGGGGGUAGGGUUUGCAUAGUGACCUCUCAUCUUGACUGGCCAGCCUGUAUUUCGCCAGGUCUAGCGUAUAAAGGACUUGCGAGGAUGGAGUUUGUGCAUCUGUGACCGGAUUACAAAAACCCUCAGAAAUUGCUGUAAUUUAAGACACAUUUAAAAGUGUACUCUGGAUGGCAAGGAUGGCACUUGGGGAUUGAGGACAGUAAUCUCUGACAGUGGGCCAGUAAUGAAUACUGAGAUAUCUUGGGCUCUCCCUCAGCUGCCCCACUGCUGUGCCAACCCAAUGGCAUGAACUUUAAGGAUCUUUGCAAAAAGCUCGUGUGCUAAACAGCAUAGCACAGCUGACAUUCAAGGAGCACUUAACAUCAACCUAUUGCUCAGGACCAUACCAGUACCUACACAGUCUUGUGCCAGAAUCUAUUGUAUAAGGAUCAGACCAAGCAUCUUGUUUAGGAAGGACAUAUUUCCUUCUCCACUGGAAGGCACUUAGGAAAGAGAUCACAAAAGAAAAUCUCCAUACCACUGCCUCCACAGCUCAGCUUCCUGGCUUUGACUUCAGCAGCUCUCAUUAAUUGAGCCAGAGUCAGUAUCUUGCUUUGGCUUUUGUACUCCUUGAUGGAUUUUUAUUUUAUUUCAACCAUUACUUUUCAUCAUCACUUUUUAAGGCCAUAGACAAUUUUUAUAUCCACAACAUCCUGGGGCAUUGAGUUCCACAGUUUAACUAUGUGUUGUGUGGAUGCACACUAUGAGUUCUUAAAUCCUUGUUCCUUACAGUUUUUUCCAUCAUCUUACAAACUUCAGUUGCAUCCACUUGUCACACUCUGCACUUUCCUCAGGCUAUAAAAUCAUCCUGUAUUUAGGUGCUUCUCAGAAACAGUCCUGUAUCUUUAAAGCAUACCAAAUCUUGAUUGAGAAACUGAUGAAAAAUUAUAUUAUUUUGGGCUUAAUUGCUCACACACUGCCACCUUUGAUGAUGCACAGAAAUAGCUCGAGAAGUACCAUUAAAAGCAGAAAUCCAAAGAACAGAAUCAACUCCAAUUUCCUCCACAAAGUAAGGGAUUUGGAUCAAGACAAAGUCAUCAGCAUCUGCCCAGGUUCCCCAGGUGGCUUUGGGGAACCCAUCCCUUCCCUUCUCUUCCGGGGAGUCUGCUCUUCCCAUCUGGGAGACUGAGUUGAAGACACUAAGUAUUGGUUAGAGGAAUUCUUAGGUAUAAAAUCAAUGUCUAAAUUUGUCUAACAAGAGUUUGAACUGCAAGCUUUAACAAUAUUAAUACACUUAAUUUUAUCUAGUCCUAGCCAGCUCAUUUACUGGGAGAUUUCUUGGUUUGUGUGAACUGAUUCUGGAGAACUGGAAAGCAAAGACCCACAUAGCACCCAUCACAGCUUAUUACAGGGGGUAAACAGUCAGUGUUAUUAGUAGAUGAGGAAAGGUAGAUCAAUAUAAAGAAAUACUGCUCUCAUUCACUAUUCCCUUUGUCACUGCCAGGCCUCAGAAUUUUUCAGUUCAUUGAUGUCAGUAAGGAUUUACUCGCCUGCCCAAGAAGCUGGUGCCUGAUUAUUCCCAGGCUGCAGCAGAUCCUGAUCAGCAUGUAAGCUGGCCUGGGCAGCUGCGUAAGAAAACAAAAUUUUAAGAUCACAGCAACUUAAAAUACUGCUUGAGUUUAUAACGUCAACAUUGGUAUCAGGGAACAUGGCAACAAAAGUGACCAAAAAGCAUCUCUUUUCGCUGUAGUGCUUAGCAAAUACAUCAGGUUGGUUAGACAGAGGGCAUGUAACGUUUUCAUUAGCUGAAUGAGCACCUAGCUCAAGCCGAAUCUGAAGGCUUUUGGAAACACUUUAUUCACAGGGAGCAGCUCAGGAGUUAAACUAUGUUUAGCAUAUUCCCUUCCCUACAUUAUUUCACGUGCAGAGCCGCUUCCUCUCUGACAGCAUCAGGAGCCUAUCCUUACAUACCCUAAUGGUCUCAUGCCUUCAGCAAGCUGUGGCUUAUACCCACAUACCUCCUCAUUGCUGUUAUCACCAAUGGUUUCCUCACUGGAAAUAAUCAUGCACAUUACAACUGUUGCCAAAACCCUCUGGCAUCAGAAGCACUCUCGGAAGGAAAGCCUGAAGGCAUGCAAGGGCCUGAACAGGGUAGCUGCAGUGAGGCAGGUCAGCAGUACUACAUGGGAACCCAUGCAAGAGAAAAGCUGCACGCUGCCUUCAUGUUUAACACCAGCCAGAGUUAGGGGUCUGAUUCUGCUGGGCUUUCAGAAUGAAACACAAAUGCUGGCCUGUGCAAAUUCCUCUGUUCAUGGUUUCACGUCCAUGUGCUCACACCAACAAUCCAUCAUGAGGUCCCAUCGCUGCAUCUGCGUGCCUUUGUGGAGACUGCAAAGGUUUUGCAUGAGUUCAAAUAUGAAAAGAAAAGUCAUUUUUCACACAUUCUGAUUUCAAAUAUGACUGUAAAUGUUCUAAGCCUCUUUUUAUGUUUAAACAUUUUUAGUGAGUUAAAAGCCAAACAAACUAUAUCUGUUACAUUUCUGCAGUUAGACCAUGUAACUUGAUUGCUUGACAAAGCAUAAGCGGUAUGAGGUCCUUUAUGGGCCACAGCUGAGCUGGAUUUUAUGCCUAAGAAUUUCCCCAUUUUGGACCAGAAGUAAAAAAAAAAAUUCUUCUGGGCAGCACCCAUGAGCCCAAGUCUGGAAAGAAGAAGUGAAAUGAGGGCAGAAAGCCCCCAAAAGAGCCUGGCUGUCCCUUCAGACAGAGCAGAAGGAAAGUAAAAUCACACCUCUGUUCUUUGGGUGUGGGGUCACCCAUCCCACCCCAGGAGCAGGGCGAAGUACCGAGACUCCCAGCAGCAGCCAGGGAGGUGUUGAGAAGCCCAUCCGAGGGGACCUGGGGAUAGUGCUUGUCCCAACUGGGGAUUGGAGCAGAGGGACUUCACAGAAGACAGCCCCCAAAAUGCUCUGCAGCCCCCAGAUGCCAUGGUGCUGUGGAUGGGUGAGGGAAUUGUUGGCUUGCCACCGCCUGCUCGCUGUGUGGUCCUGCCCAGGGAGACAUCUCAGUGGCUGCCAGGAAUGAGGAAAACUGGCAUGUUUUUGUUUUGUUUCCUUUUAAAUAAACUUGCCGUCCUUAAUCUGGCAGGCUGGAGCCCAGGCUCGACAGGCCAAUGAGUAAUGAGGUGCGAGGGAAGACAGGAUGUGGAAUUAGGAGGUCAGGGCUGAAGGUUGCCCCAAAUUUAAUCUCUACUUCUCCUUCUCCAUGUGCCACUGCUGACCACGGUGUAGACGCACACUCACCAGCGAUGCCCUACAGCCCCAUAUACCAGCAAGGCCAAUGCAGGAGGAGUUCAGGAGCCAGGACUCCCCUCCCUGCCCGCCCUCAUAGGCCUGUGCCCGCAGCAAAGCCUUCCCUGCCUUCCAGAUGCAGUGGUUCAGAAGCUCAGGGGAAGUCAAGUUCACCCCGUGGCUCUGGUGACACUCAGUGUUACCUCACUGAGCUCAUCACCAUCUUGGGUACCU
rnacentral:lncRNA from 1 species